GUCCACGCUGUAAAACGAUGACGACUAGGUGUGGGGGGGUUCAGUCCCCUCCGUGCCGCGGCUAACGCAUUAAGUCGUCCGCCUGGGGAGUACGGCCGCAAGGUUGAAACUCAAAGGAAUUGACGGGGGCCCGCACAAGCGGUGGAGCAUGUGGUUCAAUUCGAUGCAGAGCGAAGAACCUUACCUGGGCUUGACAUGCAGGAAGUAGAAACCGGAAACGGCGACGACCUGUUAAGUCAGGAACCUGCACAGGUGGUGCAUGGCUGUCGU
rnacentral:rRNA from 1 species